rnacentral:rRNA from 1 species
UACGAAGGGUGCAAGCGUUACUCGGAAUUACUGGGCGUAAAGCGUGCGUAGGUGGUUUGUUAAGUCCGAUGUGAAAGCCCUGGGCUCAACCUGGGAAUGGCAUUGGAAACUGGCGGGCUAGAGUGCGGUAGAGGGUAGUGGAAUUCCCGGUGUAGCAGUGAAAUGCGUAGAGAUCGGGAGGAACACCAGUGGCGAAGGCGGCUACCUGGACCAGCACUGACGCUCAUGCACGAAAGCGUGGGGAGCAAACAGG